GUCCACUGAACCUUAUCAUUUAGAGGAAGGAGAAGUCGUAACAAGGUUUCCGUAGGUGAACCUGCGGAAGGAUCAUUGUCGAGACCCGCAAAGCAGACCCGCGAACCCGUUCGUCCCACGAAACGCGCGGGAGGACGACGCGGGCACGGUCGAACGCGCCGUCCCGAGUCGGAGACCCCGCUCCGUCGGCGAGCGCGCACGCGCCCGUCGCACGGCCCAACGAACCCCGGCGCGAGAAGCGUCAAGGAACACUCACAGCAUCGCUCGCCCCCCCGGUGCCCCGUUCGCGGUCGGCACCCCGGGGACAGGGCGCGCGUCGAAAUCGAAACGACUCUCGGCAACGGAUAUCUCGGCUCUCGCAUCGAUGAAGAACGCAGCAAAAUGCGAUACUUGGUGUGAAUUGCAGAAUCCCGUGAACCAUCGAGUUUUUGAACGCAAGUUGCGCCCGAGGACAUUGUGCCGAGGGCACGUCUGCCUGGGCGUCACGCACAUCGUCGCCCUCCGCCCCGACACGGGAUCGCGGGCGUUGGGCCGGACACUGGCCUCCCGUGCGCGUCCGCGCGCGGCCGGCCCAAAUGCGAUUCGGCGUCGACGCGAGCCGCGACAAUUGGUGGUUGAAGUCCUCAACUGGCGCGUUGUCGCGCGGGAUCGCGUCGCUCGGCCGGGUGCCUCGACCCCCCCGAAGGUGCUCACCGCACCUCGACGGCGACCCCAGGUCAGGCGGGAUCACCCGCUGAGUUUAAGCAUAUCAAUAAGCGGAGGA
rnacentral:sRNA from 1 species